AUGGCGGGCUGGUGGCGGGUGCUGUCGCGGGGGGCCCGGCGCUACCCGUGGCCCGCGAACGUGCUGCUUUACGCCGCCCUUUUCUCGGCCGGCGACGCGCUGCAGCAGCGUCUAAGGGACGGCCCGGCCGACUGGCGCCAGACGCGGCACGUGGCCACCGUGGCCGUGGUUUUCCAGGCCAACUUCAAUUACGUGUGGCUGCGCCUGCUGGAGCGCGCGCUGCCGGGCCGCGCACCGCGCGCCAUCCUGGCCAAGGUGCUGUGCGACCAGGUGGUCGGCGCGCCAGUCGCCCUCUCGGCCUUCUACGCAGGCAUGAGUAUUCUCCAAGGAAAGGAUGAUAUAUUUUUGGACCUGAGACAGAAAUUCUGGAAUACAUAUAAGAGUGGUCUGGUGUACUGGCCUUUCGUGCAGCUGACCAACUUCAGCCUUGUUCCCAUUCACUGGAGAACAGCUUACACUGGAUUCUGUGGCUUUCUCUGGGCCACCUUCCUUUGCUUUUCACAACAAAGUGGUGAUGGCACGUUGAAGUCAGCUUUCACCUUUCUUCGUGUAAAGGAGGCCAGUGCAGUUGAAAGGCCCCAAGAGAAAUGAGAAGCCAAGGACUCCCUUAGAGAGACUACAUUUUUUCCUAAAAUUCAGUGGAUCACCUACAGAUGAAAUACUUUCUUUACCAGUUGCGUGCUUCAUUUUGGGAAUUAUUAUCCCAUAGACCCAUUUCUUUAUUAAUUAUCCAUAUGAUUAUUUAAAAUUUGAUUUAAACCACCUCUUUUUCCAUUCCAGUCUGAAAGUGUAAAAGGUAUAGAACCUCUCUUACUUUCACUUCUUUAAUAUGGUGGUUAUUGUCAAUGACAGGGACGAUAUGGCACUUUGUAAUUAUUAAUGCUUCUAGUCUAAUAUUUUAAUACCAGUUGAUGUAAGGAACCCAGUUUUGAUUGUUUACAUGCUUAUUCUAAAGUCUCAGGUUUCUUCUAAACACUUUUAAGUCAGAUUACCUUUUGUACCUUAUAAUAAAUUUCUAUUUACGUGAAAUUCAAUCAAGGAGAAUAUAGGGUAACCAGAUUUUUUUCCCCAAAAAUACUGUAUAAUAAUUUAUUGUUACAAUGAUACUGAAGUUCUGUAAAUACAUUUUGUAUCAUCAAAAAAAAAAAAAGAUUAGCACAUGAUCAGUGCAAUGUGUAUCGAAUAUAUUUUAUUACUUUCUUGUACUUUUAUAAUUUCUGUGUUAGAUAAUUUUUAGUUAGUGCUUUUUAGUUUUAUGGAUAUUUAAUUGCCUAAAGCACCCCAUUUCCUAGACUUACAAAAUAAGCAGAACAUUUGGCUCUUUUUUUUUUUUAACUGUUCAUAAUCUGAUAUUCUAUUUAUUAGUUAGAUCUUUACAGAUAUUUGCCACUAUAAAAAUACAACAGACAAGCGGGCUGGAAAUUUAAAGCUACACAAUCCUGACUUCAGAGAGACACUCCAGCUCCUUUGAGCUGCGUGUACUUUUCCAACAAUUUCCCAGUGGCUUUAAAUUUUUUUAAAUAGUCUUAAGAUGUUCCACAUGGAAGCAAUUCCACAACACUCACAUACACAGAGAACAGUGAAAGCUGCAGACACGAGGCGACCAGGAGAACUCAGGACUUGUACCUGGUGGAGUAGUCCUUUGGAGACGCCACCAGAUCCCGGCCCUUGCACCCUUCUAGGUAGAAUGUCCUUAUGGUGUCGAUCAUUUCCUGUUUAUUCUCCAAGGCUCCAGUUAAUCGCGUUGUUGCCAGUCCCCAAAUCAACCAUUACGUGCUUGUUCCUGAAGAAAAGCAUGACAAUGCAAGGAUCGGGUAACUCAUACAUUUCGUUGAAGCUGGGUACUUCUGUAAUAUCCACAAGAUAAAUAAAUAAAAUAACCCUAAAAAUUUUAACUUUAAAAGAGGUGUGACAUCCAAACAGCACCCAUUACUUGGCAAGGAUGAACCCCCACCUAUCUGCCUUUUGUUAAUACACGUAAAGUCUGUUUCCUAGCUAACAGCAUCUUGCCGAGUUCUGCAUAGAUCUGGAGAGCCACGACCUUCGCGUCUAGCCAUCCUAGCCUCGCACUGAUGACAGGGGUCUGGGCAUCACUCAGCGUUUAUGCCGCCACCUUUUCAGCUAUGCUCCAUGGAACUUCAUUUCCAUACGAAUAGCAUCUAAGUCGUGUCCAAACGGAGUGAUGAUGAUGCGGUCCUCCUUGGAAAGGAUGACCUGGUCCACCUGCCAACCGUUGUGUUGAUGUGGAAGCAUGUACAACACCUCCACAGAAGAAGAAACAAAGCUGCCGUACGUUUGGCUUCUGAUAGAGUGAAUUAAGUUUUUAAAAAAUCUAACUUUUUUCCCCCCUGCGGAAGGAAGGAUUGUAAUGCACAGAGUUUCAGAGAAAAUAAGUACCCCAAAUUUCACACUGAUGUUGUUUUAAAAAUCAGUGCUUUAAGAGAAAUCUUUAUACUUUAAGGGGAACAUGGGAAACUUAAUUCAGCCUUUCAGUUCGUAUAACCUCAAAACCAGUGGGUUUUAAAGUUGUGGAAAUAACUUAAGGGGUUUCAGCAAAUUUCACCUAAGAAUUAAACCACAGUUCCGUUGCAUUCAAUGGAGUAUUUCAUGAAUUUCGAGAUACGAAGUGCUUAACUGUUAAUCGCUUCAUCUGAAGAAUUUAUAUAUUUAAGAUUAAUUUGAGAAUGUAUACUUAAUAUUUCAAUCAUAAUUUAUACAAUCCAAUAUAAAUUUAUAUAAAUUGCAAGCAUGUAGUGUCUAAGUAUAUAAUUUAUCUGAAUUUAAUAGGUGUUAAUAUAUUGCAUUAUUGGGACAAUAGUAAGGGCAUUUCUAGAUGGUUUAUUUCUACACUAAUUUGUUAUUUGCAUUGUUUUAAAAGUAGCUAGUACAAUAGAAAAGCUAUUUCACAAUACAUAAGGCAAAUUUUGUUAUUAAAGAAGUAUACCCAUAGUAGUUACACUAAGUGCUACCUGCCAGUCUCGUAGAUGAACUUCAGCAUUACUUUUGUGUUGGAAAAAUAGUGUUUGUAUUUUGUCUGAAAGAACUUGGGAGCAUGUCAUAGGAAAACAGACCUGGUCUGUACUGUCAAGGGGGAAAGAGCUUAUUAUUUACAAAAGGUACAGAGUAUAAUAGCCUUCACUCAAUAGUGUAAAGACUGUUUGUACUAUCGAGAAAAUACGGCAUUUUAGUUUUGCCUGGAUUUUUGCAAAUAAUGCAGUUUAAAUUUCCUGCAAGAGUAUUUUUGUGUUUCGGUGUGCGAGGUAGAGCUUACUUUGACUAACACAGUGUAUAACCAAUGAUGGUUGUACAAUAUGCAUUGUAUUAGUAUUAAAAUGCUACCAUCCUUAAUAAAAAAGCCCUAGGACUUCCAAGGUUUGGAACCAAGCAGGUGACCCCUGCUCUUCCUCCGAAGUUUCACUGUUCCCUAAGAUUUCUUUAGCUUCAUUGUGCGUUGCCUCACCAUGGUGCCCUGGCUCCAUUAGAGUCCCUUAGCAGAGUUGAGAUAGACUGGAUUUUCCAAACAACCUACCUAAUACAUAUGAAAAACAAAUGGGAAGUUUAUAGGGUACCAAAAGCCUUAGAAAAAAAAAAAGGCUUACGGAAUAUUGGUUUCUGAUCCAAUUUAGUUAGCUUAUUUUAUAGCUGGAACUCAGGGCUCACAGAUCCUGUCCUUAAUCCAGGUAUUUGAGGUAUCAGCCUUCUAGCCUGGUGGUCCCCGGGUGGUACAAACAGUUUGCACUUGACUACUAAUCAAAAGACCGGCAGUUCAAACCCACCCAGUGGCACCAUGGAAAAAAGGUUUGGCGAUCUGCUUCUGUAAAGAUUAUAGCCAAGAAAACCUUAUGGUGCUCUGUUCUACUCCAUUACACAUGGGGUCGCCAUGAGUUGGAAUUGACUUGAUGGCACCUAAUAACAACAACAACCCUGACAGUACCUUCCUGGUAUUCCUUUUUUUUCAAUAACCUGAUCAUCGCCAUAUGACAAUACCAUUUAGCCAUCCAUCACCAGGAAGCUGUCUUGUUGGCCCUUCUGUCACUAAAAUCAAGAGACCCUGAGUCCCAUCUUCUUUGGACUCCUGGUUUCCAUUUUCAGUCUCAAAGAUAUGCCUCUUACCCACGUAGCUAAGAAAUGAUUUCUUCAUUCAGCAGAUAUCUUCCCCCUACACAAAUGGAUGUGACUCCCCCUAGAGUCUACCAGUAUGACCAUAGCUGCAUAAAAUAACCAUAACCCUUAUCUAAAUAAAUCAAUAAAUACUAUUAAACAGCCAGUGUGGGGAUAUAAAGAGGAUAAAUAACAUAACGAUAGCUGUGUUCAGGAAGUUCACAGUCUAGCUGGAUGUAUAAAAACUGAUAACCACAGGUUCUCAAGACAGCAUCUGGGACAAGUUGGGAUGGUUAAAGUACUGUGUCAGCUUGGUUGGGCCAUGAUUCUCAGUGGUUUGGCUGUUAUGUAAUGAUGUAAUUAUCUUCCAUUUUGUAAUAUGAUGUAAUAACCUCCAUGAUGUAAUCUGUAAUCAGCCAAUCAGUUGUAAGGGAAGUUUCCUCAGGGGUGCGGCAUGCAUCCAAUAUAUAUGGAUGUUCUGACAAAGCUCACUGACUUUUGCUUACUCUGGAUCCUGCAUUCAACUCGUCAUCAUCUGACCUCUGGUUCUUGGGACUUGAGCCUCCACAGCUUGUGAGCCAACAGCCUGCCAUCUGACCGUCUGAUCUUGGGCUCGUCAGCCCCUGUAGCUACGUGAGUCAGGAGAAGCCUCCCGUCUGACACCUGACCAUCAACUUGGGCCUUACCAGCCUCUACAACUAUCUUUGUCUACAGAACAAGAAACUCUAUACAACCUGAAAAUGGAAAUUCAGCAAGGCAGCCAGGUAAUUGCUGAAUAACAUGAAAACCGAUGAUAUAUUUACCCCAGGCUGCUACUGGGCAGAAUGUAUACUUUCUGUAAAAGUUUGGGGGCUCAGAAUGUAUUCCAGUUAGAUUGUAAGCCCUUUCGGAGCUGAGACGAAUACAGUGCCUGAUGAGAGUUGUUCAUGAAAGACUCAGUAAAUGUUGAUCGAUUAUUUCUACCUCCGCACUGAGGUCAAAUAGUUGGUGAAAACUGACAUAUCUGAAUAUUGCCUUUUGAGUGUUUGUGAUGAAGAGCUCUGUUUGUUCAUUUCUAAUAUUUGUAUCAAUGUCCUAUUUCUCUGAGCCAUGGAACCAGAAUGCUUUUUCAUAUUUUGAGUGGAAAGUGUUGUAAAAGCGACACCAGUUGCUUCAUUUAAAAUUUUAUGUAUAAAAUAUAUACAUAUAUUGAAAGUUUGUUAUAAGGUGAUUUAGUGUAUAUGAAAGUAAAUGAAUUUUAAUUGAGUACAGCAGAUGACUCUGGCUGUUUGUUUUAUUGGCCGUGUGGCUAUCCUGGAAAAUAUGUAUAGGUACCCUCUAAUCUUUCCUAAUCGUCUUUACUGAAAAUUCAAGAUUUAUGCCUUUAGUUUGGAUUGAGAUACAAGUUAUCCUUAUCUGUUUACAUAUGUUUUUUUGUCACUGUUAUGAAUGGAAUUGUGUCCCCCAAAAAUGUGUGUCAACUUGUCUAGGCCAUGAUUCUCAGUACUGUGUGAUGGUCCACCAUUUUGUGAUCUGAUGUGAUUACCCUAUGUGUUGUAAAUCUUAACCUCUGUGAUGUUAAUGAGACAGGAUUAGAGGCAGUUAUGUUAAUGAGGCAGGACUCAAUCUACAAGAUUAGCUUGUAUCUUGAGUCAAUCUCUUUUGAGAUAUAAAAGAAGCCAUCAGAGAGGAGAGGGACCUGAUGCCACUAAGAAAGAAGCACCAGGAGCAGAGCAUGUCCUUUGGACCCAGGGUCCCUGCUCUAAGACACUCCUAGACCAGGUGAAGGUUGAUGAUGAAGACCUUCCCCCAGAACCCACAGAGAGAGAAAGCAUUCCCCAGGAGCUGGCGCCCUGAAUUCAGACUUGAAGCCUCCUAGACUGUGAGAUAAUAAAUUUAUGUUUGUUAAAGCCGUCCACUUGUGGUAUUUCUGUUAAAGCCACCCUAGAUAACUAAGACAGUCACUUCUUGAAUUUUUUCAAAGAUUUACCUAGUUCUUAAAUACGCAUGAGCUAUCACAUGCCUGAAAAUUUAGAAUUGA